CCAGUGAAGUGCUUUCCUCUCAAUUUUAUCGCCCAAAAUCCUAUCUAAAACCCUAAUUUCCCCUGACUACUGUAAGAAUCUACUCCAUCCAUGGAUCCCAGCACUAGUUCUUCUUCAUCACCAUCAGCUGAAAUGUCAUACCUUAUGAAUUCAUGUGGAUUAUCAGAAAAAUCAGCUCCCACUGCAUCUACAAAAAUUAAAUUCACUUACCUAUCAAAUCCAGAUUCAGUUAUCACUCUCCUUGAGUCAUACGGUUUCACUAAACCAGACAUCACCAAACUCAUCAGUAAGAGAAGAGGCCAAAAUUACUUACAUGAACCACCCAAGGCGGUUCGUGGAGGACUCUGAUAGGUUCAAAGCUGCUGUACAAGAGGUUAAGAGUAAGGGAUUGGAUCCUUGUAAAUCUGCAUUUAUCGAAACCCUUCGUGGUGCGAGAGCUAUAAGUGAAACGACUUUGGAAGAUAGAAUGAAUGUUUAUAGGAAAUGGGGUUCGACUGAUGAAGAACUUGAAAUUUCAUUUAAGAAGUAUCCGAAAUGUUUAUUUGUAUCUGUGAAGAAGAUAACUGCUAUAACGGAUUACCUUGUGACUCAAAUGGGUUAUAGGCUAUCGUAUUUGCGUAGGAAUGUUGGCAUUUUUACUUAUAGCUUGGAGAAGAGGAUUAUACCAAGGCUUGCUGUCCAUCGAUAUCUAAUCUCCAUACAUUUGAUUGAGUCAAGUAGCAUUUACGGUCUUCUAAACUUAUCUGAAGAAGUAUCUGAUUGAGUAUGAAGAAGUUCCUGAACUGCGGCAGGUAUACCAUAAUUCAGUAUUUAGUAUUCCUUUAUUCAGUUAGUGACCAAGUGUGAUGUAGAAGCUCCCAAACUGUUGCAGGUCACAUCUAUGGAUUUCUAAUUGUUGGAUGCGUAGCAGCUACGCUGUAGCUCUACUGUGUUUGCAUCGGUGGAUAGCUCUGAUAGAUAACCCGCUAUUUAUCCAACUUAUGAAUAAUUUUGACUUCUAAAAGAUCUUAUUUUAUCAGAAAUUGGUAACAGAAAUUGCAUGUUCUCCAUUUAUAUUUUUAAGCCUUAUGCCAGAAAGAGUUUCGAACAGUACUGUUGAUAGAUUACCAUUGUAUCAUAAUUACAUAAUCAAUUGUUACAUAAAUAAGUUUGUAUAUACACCUCAUCUCAGGUUCUUAUUUUCUUUCAAGUUGGUCUGGAAGAUUUGAUCUCUUUUCUAUUUUAUUGGUGACCAGGCAUCUAAUGGGCGUUUUACCGAGGACUCACAAAGUGAAGAAGUAAUUUUUUGUUCAGAAAAGGCUAUACAGACUGACGAAGUUGGCAAACCUAAAAAAAUAGCUUCAUCAAGUGAUCUUGUAAAGCAAGAGAAAAUGUUAAAGAAGAAGGAAGAAACGAAGCAAGCCUAUAAACCUAAGAAAAUUUUGAAAAAGUUGAAGAAAAAGGUGGAAGAAGUGGAAGGUAGUGCUACGAAGAAGAAAGAGGAGGUUAAGUCUAAGGGGGGAGAACAAAUUGUUGCUUUCCCUAUUGUUGAGAAAAUUUUAGAAAAGAGUCUUCCAAGUGUGCUCAAGAGGAAACUUGUUUUAGAUACCGAGGAAGAAUCAAAGAAAGUCAAGAAGCCUAAGAAACUUUUGAAAAAGUCGAAGAAAAAAGUAGAGGAAGAGCAAUGUAGUGGUGCAAAGAAGAACAAACAUGCUAAGUCUACAGUAGAAGAAGAUGUUGCUGCUGUUCCCGUUGCUGAGGAAGUAUUAGAAGAUAGCCAAGCCAGUUUGCUCAAGAGUCAAGUUGAUUUAGAUGAGGUGGAAGUGCCAAAGAAAGCUAAAAAAUCUAAGGUCUUGAAAAUGCCAAAGAAAAAUGCUGUGGAAAUUCAAGGUAGUGUGGAAAAUAAAGAAGAGGAAGAUAAGUCUAGCAAAGAGAAAGUGGCAAGGACCUAGCCAGCUCGAAACAAAUAUAUGUCAAAUAUUCACUCUCCAACCGAGAAAGGGUAUUAGGUCUUGAAAUCUUUGGAUGUGAUAAAUGUGAACCAGGAAACACCGUGAUGGCAUUGCAGCAGCAGCUUCGCGAAUUUUAGCAAAUCUCUAGAAUCAGUGAUAGGAUACGAAAAAGACUAUUAACAUGCUGUGAUGACAAGUGGUGUAAAUUCCUUGCAAGAGGUUGUAGUCAAAGAUUCCCAAGAUGAAGAAGCUCAUACAAUUGCAACCACCAACAAGAAACUGAAAUACCUGAAAUGGCUUGCUUAGUUCUCAGUUCAGGUGCUGUCCCUGAGAUCAUCUCAAACUGUAAGGAUUUGGAAACAUAUAUUUGAGUGGUUGUUGGGGUGUUAAGUUCGACGACAAAGACCUAAUGGAAAAACAGAAGUAGUUGGACUAAUUGUAGACGAAUGGAGUUGCUGGGACAUUGUUGUUAUUGUUCAGAUUCUUCUUAUUAUCUGGCUUGGGAUCUUGUGACUGGUGAAAUUGCCGAUUUUGAUAACUUAAACUCUCGAUGGUUGGGAAUUGGGAUAGAGCCAGAGAGAUACUUUCUAUAUCAAAGACAUACUUUUUGGAUCAAACUUACAGUGCUGCAUAUCUUGCAGAAGGAGAAAAGGACUGGAUAUAAAGUUCUUUUUUUCAACAUCUGAAUCCGAGAAGCCUGACUUGACUUUGAACGAAUAUAUAGUCGUCAAUCUGACACGGUGUUUGCGUUUAUCGAAAAUAAAUACUCCCUUCGUUCUUUUUUUAAUAGGCUGGUUUCUAUAAAUAAAUGUUUCAAAAAAUAGGUUGGUUUCCUAAUUGGAAAAGUCAAA